UACGUAGGGUGCAAGCGUUGUCCGGAAUUAUUGGGCGUAAAGAGCUCGUAGGCGGUCUGUCGCGUCGGCUGUGAAAUCCCGAGGCUCAACCUCGGGUCUGCAGUCGAUACGGGCAAACUUGAGUGUUGCAGGGGAGACUGGAAUUCCUGGUGUAGCGGUGAAAUGCGCAGAUAUCAGGAAGAACACCCGUGGCUAAGGCGGCUCUCUAGUACGGUACUGACGCUGAGACGCGAAAGCGUGGGGAGCGAACAGG
rnacentral:rRNA from 1 species